ensembl:lncRNA
CCAUUCAUUAUUCAUACUCUACAUGGUUUAUUUAUUGUCCCUGAAUGUUUAUUGUCACUGAAUGUUGAUGUGAGUGAAUGCACAUGGUGUUUGUAUGCUCUAACACAGACCUAGCCGAGAUAAAGAGGAACAAUAUAUAUUGAGAAUGGUAUUUAUGGUAUCUUCCCUUGCCAGUCUCCCUACUAGAUAGAUUUGUCAUACCAUUUGAGAGCAUAUGAGAGGGAGAGCGUUAUGAUUUACGACCAACGUCAAAAUAAAAUCCUUGACUUCAUUCUCUUACUCUACUGUCUGUACGUUGCCUUGGCUCAGGUUGACGUGACGUUAUUUCAAUUAAAGAGUUAUCCAUACAGCCAGAAGCAGAGGUCAGCCUAUAGCCGACUCACUCUGCUCCAUCUUUAUUCUACUCUCCUUCCUGUAUCACUCCUUCCCCUCCUUCCCUCCCUGUAUCACUCCUUUCCCUCCUUUCCUCCCUGUAUCACUCCUUCCUCUCCUCCCCACCUUGUAUCACUCCUUCCUCUCCUCCCCACCCUGUAUCACUCCUUACCCUCCUUCCCUCCCCAUAUCACUCUUUCCUCUCCUUUCUUCCCUGUAUCACUCCUUCCCCUCCUUCCCUCCCUGUAUUACUCCUUCCCCUCAUUUCCUCCCUGUAUCACUCCUUCCCCUCAUGUAUCACUCCUUCCUGUCCUUCCCUCCAUGUAUCACUCCUUCCUCUCCUCCCCACCCUGUAUCACUCCUUACCCUCCAUGUAUCAGUCCUUCCCUCCUUCCCUCCCUGUAUAAUUACUUCUUCUCCUUCCCUCCCUGUAUCACUCCUUCCUCUCCUUCCCUCCAUGUAUCACUCCUUCCUCUCCUUCCCUCCAUGUAUCACUCCUUCUUCUCCUUCCCUCCAUGUAUCACUCCUUCUCCUCCUUCCCUCCCUGUAUCACUCCUUCUUCUCCUUCCCUCCAUGUAUCACUCCUUCCUCUCCUUCCCUUCAUGUAUCACUCCUUCUUCUCCUUUGCUCCAUGUAUCUCUCCUUCUUCUCCUUCCCUCCCUGUAUCACUCCUUCUCCUUCCCUCCAUGUAUCACUCCUUCUUCUCCUUCCCUCCCUGUAUCACUCCUUCUUCUCCAUGUAUCACUCCUUCCUCUCCUUCCCUACCUGUAUCACUCCAUCCUCUCCUUCCCUCCCUGUAUCACUCCUUCCCCCAUGUAUCACUCCUUCCUCUCCUUCCCUCCCUGUAUCACUCCUUCCUCUCCUGCCCACCCUGUAUCACUCCUUCCCCUCCUUCCCUCCCUGUAUCACUCCUUCCCCUCCUUCCCUCCCUGUAUCAUUCCUUCCCCUCCUUCCCUCCCUGUAUCAUUCCUUCCCCUCCUUCCCUCCAUGUUUCACUCCUUCCCUUCCUUCCAUCCAUGUAUCACUCCUUCCUCUCCUUCCCUCCCUGUAUCACUCCUUUCCCUCCUUUCCUCCCUGUAUCACUCCUUCCUCUCCUCCCCACCUUGUAUCACUCCUUCCUCUCCUCCCCACCCUGUAUCACUCCUUACCCUCCUUCCCUCCCCAUAUCACUCCUUCCUCUCCUUCCCUCCCUGUAUCACUCCUUCCCCUCCUUCCCUCCCUGUAUCACUCCUUCCUCUCCUUUCCUCCCUGUAUCACUCCUUCCCCUCCUUCCCUCCAUGUAUCACUCCUUCCCCUACUUCCCUCCCUGUAUUACCACAUCCUCUCCUUCCCUCCCUGUAUCACUCCUUUCCCUCCUUCCCUCCCUGUAUCACUCCUUCCCCUCCUUUCCUCCCUGUAUCACUCCUUCUUCUCCUUCCCUCCAUGUAUCACUCCUUCCUCUCUUUCCCUCCAUGUAUCACUCCUACUUCUCCUUCCCUCCCUCUAUCACUCCUUCUUCUCCUUCCCUCCAUGUAUCACUCCUUCCUAUCCUUCCCUUCAUGUAUCACUCCUUCUUCUCCUUCCCUCCAUGUAUCACUCCUUCCUAUCCUUCCCUUCAUGUAUCACUCCUUCUUCUCCUUCCCUCCCUGUAUCACUCCUUCCCCUCCUUCCCUCCUUCUAUCACUCCUUCUUCUCCUUCCCUCCAUGUAUCACUCCUUCCUAUCCUUCCCUUCGUGUAUCACUCCUUCUUCUCCUUCCCUCCCUGUAUCACUCCUUCCCCUCCUUCCCUCCCUCUAUCACUCCUUCUUCUCCUUCCCUCCAUGUAUCACUCCUUCCUAUCCUUCCCUUCAUGUAUCACUCCUUCUUCUCCUUCCCUCCCUGUAUCACUCCUUCCCCUCCUUCCAUCCAUGUAUAACUCUUUCCUCUCCUUCCCUCCAUGUAUCAAUCCUUCCCCUCCUUCCCUCCCUGUGUCAUUCCUUCCCCUCCUUCCCUCCCUGUGUCACUCCUUCCCUCUCCUUCCCUCCCUGUAUCACUCCUUCCUCUCCUUCCCUCCAUGUAUCACUCCUUCCCCUCCUUCCCUCCCUGUAUCACUCCUUCCUCUCCUUCCUUCCAUGUAUCACUCCUUUCCCUCCUUCCCUCCAUGUAUCACUCCUUCCUCUCCUUCCCUCCAUGUAUCACUCCUUCCUCUUCUUCACUCCAUGUAUCACUCCUUCCUCUCCUUCCCUCCAUGUAUCACUCCUUCUCCUCCUUUUCUAGCUGGAUGAUGAAUUUACAAAUGCAGCAAAAGGGAGAGGAAAACAAGAUAUAGCAAUCACCAGGGCAACAGAGCUGAUUGAGAAUGCCUUGAAAAGACAUGGCCAUUAGUCUUUGUGUCUGCUAAUCUGAUUUUAAAGCUGUUACUACAAUCUACAGCAUUAUGCCCCAGCGACCACUGACAGCGGUGGGUCCAGGGCGGAGGGCAUGACACAUACA